AGCAGUCGCCGCGGGAAUACGAAGGGGGCUAGCGUUGUUCGGAAUUACUGGGCGUAAAGCGCACGUAGGCGGAUAUUUAAGUCAGGGGUGAAAUCCCGCAGCUCAACUGCGGAACAGCCUUUGAUACUGGGUAUCUUGAGUAUGGAAGAGGUAAGUGGAAUUGCGAGUGUAGAGGUGAAAUUCGUAGAUAUUCGCAGGAACACCAGUGGCGAAGGCGGCUUACUGGUCCAUUACUGACGCUGAGGUGCGAAAGCGUGGGGAGCAAACAGGAUUAGAUACCCCAGUAGUCCCUGUCUCUUAUAC
rnacentral:rRNA from 1 species